AGGGAUGUGGCGCAACUUGGUAGCGCGCAUUUGUUUUGGGUAUAAAAUGUCAUGGGUUCAAAUCCUGUCAUCCCUA
rnacentral:tRNA from 1 species